rnacentral:misc_RNA from 1 species
GAUGAAGAACGUAGCGAAAUGCGAUAAGUAAUGUGAAUUGCAGAAUUCAGUGAAUCAUCGAAUCUUUGAACGCACAUUGCGCCCUCUGGUAUUCCGGGGGGCAUGCCUGUUCGAGCGUCAUUAUAACCACUCAAGCUCUCGCUUGGUAUUGGGGUUCGCGGUUUCGCGGCCCCUAAAAUCAGUGGCGGUGCCUGUCGGCUCUACGCGUAGAAAUACUUCUCGCGAUUGAGUUCGAUAGGUCUACUUGCCAGUAACCCCCAAUUUUUACAGGUUGACCUCGGAUCAGGUAGGGAUACCCGCUGAACUUAAGCAUAUCAAUAAGCGGAGGA